rnacentral:tRNA from 1 species
CGAGCGAAGCUGGUAGCGCGUCUGCCUUGUAAGCGCUAGGUCGCGGGUUCGAUUCCCGCUCGG